rnacentral:rRNA from 1 species
GACGAACGCUGGCGGCGUGCUUAACACAUGCAAGUCGAGCGACUGCAUUCUUUUCGGAGGGUGUAUGGAGCGGCGAACGGGUGAGUAACACGUGAGUAAUCUGCCUUUGGCUUGGGAAUAACUUCGGGAAAUCGGGGCUAAUGCCUGAUGUUUACUGUCUGCUGCAUGGUGGGUGGUGGAAAGAUUUUUUGGCCAGGGAUGAGCUCGCGGUCUAUCAGCUUGUGGGUGGGGUAAUGGCUUACCAAGGCUUUGACGGGUGGCCGGCCUGAGAGGGGCGGACGGGCCACACUGGGACUGAGACACGGCCCAGACUCCUACGGGAGGCAGCAGUGGGGAAUUGUUCGCAAUGGGCGCAAGCCUGACGACGCAACGCCGCGUGAAGGAUGAAGGUCUUCGGAUU